UACGGAGGGAGCUAGCGUUGUUCGGAAUUACUGGGCGUAAAGCGCACGUAGGCGGCUUUGUAAGUUAGGGGUGAAAGCCCGGUGCUCAACACCGGAAUUGCCUUUAAGACUGCAUCGCUUGAAUCCAGGAGAGGUGAGUGGAAUUCCGAGUGUAGAGGUGAAAUUCGUAGAUAUUCGGAAGAACACCAGUGGCGAAGGCGGCUCACUGGACUGGUAUUGACGCUGAGGUGCGAAAGCGUGGGGAGCAAACAGG
rnacentral:rRNA from 1 species